rnacentral:rRNA from 1 species
GACGAACGCUGGCGGCGUGCUUAACACAUGCAAGUCGAACGGUAAGGCCCUUCGGGGUACACGAGUGGCGAACGGGUGAGUAACACGUGGGUGAUCUGCCCUGCACUUCGGGAUAAGCCUGGGAAACUGGGUCUAAUACCGGAUAGGACCACUGCCUGCAUGGGUGGUGGGGGAAAGCCUUUGCGGUGUGGGAUGGGCCCGCGGCCUAUCAGCUUGUUGGUGGGGUGAUGGCCUACCAAGGCGACGACGGGUAGCCGGCCUGAGAGGGUGACCGGCCACACUGGGACUGAGAUACGGCCCAGACUCCUACGGGAGGCAGCAGUGGGGAAUAUUGCACAAUGGGCGCAAGCCUGAUGCAGCGACGCCGCGUGAGGGAUGACGGCCUUCGGGUUGUAAACCUCUUUCAGCACCGACGAAGCGCAAGUGACGGUAGGUGCAGAAGAAGGACCGGCCAACUACGUGCCAGCCGCCGCAGUAAAAC